AUGAAUCCUUCGUCUGCCCUUGGUCCAAACGGUUUGCCAGUGAAGUUCUUCCAGACCUUCUGGACGGCCAUAAAACCAGAGGUCAUGGCCCUCUUUGAGGAGUUCUAUGUGGGCUCCAUUGACCUCGAUCGCCUUAACUACGGGAUCACCACCUUGAUCCCCAAGGUGCCUGGCGCUUCGGACAUCCGUCAGUUCCGACCGAUCACGAUGAUCAAUAUGAUCUUCCGCAUUCUAGCAAAGGGGUACGCCAAUAGGGUGGCCCCUUUGGCUGACCGCAUCACCCACCCGGAUCAGUCCGCCUUCAUACAAGGCCAGUAUAUCCAGAUGGGGUCAUUGUCUUCCACGAAGUCCUGCACGAGGUCCGGUCCAAAAACCUCAAAGCAGUCUUCCUGA
rnacentral:rRNA from 1 species